CUGCUUCCCGGGCUUGGCUGGCUCUGGAGAGCUGACAGUCAUUCAGAACUAACUCGAGUAGCUCUACAUGUCAUUCUCCUGCACUACGUGUCUUUUCUUUCCGAUAACCAGCUGUCUCGCACAUUCUUCAGUUAAUACUUUCUAGGUCAGAUACGGCCUCAAUAGACUAUAUCAUUUUGCCCAGAGCUAAUUCUCCAAAAGCAGUACGAAAGUCUUUGAAUACGUUGCAGGAUUUUCCAGGAAUUGCUGCUCAGCAAAGAAAAUUCAGCUGAUCAUAAGUCUCUUGAAAAAUGCUUGCAGGGAAACUUCAUUCCUCGGGGAUGGAUGCUGGGGUUAUUUAUAAUAUAACCCAGCAAUAUCUGAAGAGUCUAAAGUUAUGGCCUUUUAUGUCAAUAAUUGUUCUUUGAACUGCCAGCUUGCCUGGGUGGUUUGAAACAACAGAACGAAGUAAAAGCAGCAACAGAAACAUAUUUACUUGCAAGCUGAUCCCAUCUGUGCUCCUGCGUUGUAAAGCUUCCCCCUGCCGUGGCACUGCACGUCUGAUUUAGUUUUUGUACGACUGCGAGGAAGCUCCAACCUUUGGGAGUGCCAGGAAUUCACGCCACCUAUCAGGAAGGCAGGAAACUGCCGCUUGGGCAUGGUUUGUUUUGGUUUUUUUUUUUUAAAAAAAAAAGCGUGUGCAGUUUUUCUUAUGUAAGAAAAUGCAAUAAUAGUAUAAUCAUUUGACACCUGAUAGUUCACUGAAAUGGAAGAUUGCUGAACUUAAUUGGAUCUCUUACACUUGCACGGUUUUCUGCUCAUGAACCAGAAUAUAUGGGGACUAUAACUCAAAUAUACGCUAAGCUGUCCCUGUUGCAGUCUCAUAGCUUACACAUUAAGUAGGAUCAGGACUCAAAAGAGGUAACUAAGGAGACCUAUGUCCUGGAGGAAAUUACCAUGAAUUACAAAAUGAUGGUUUCUCUCUUAAUAAAAAUAGAACCAAUGCUCCAGUGUGACACUAUGGAACUCUUCAUCUUAUAAAGGUGCUAUCUUUGAGGAAAUAUAUAUGUUAAUCCAGCUGUCAUGCAUAAAUUCUCAUUUGGGGCCUGAUCUAAUUCCCAUUGAAGUAGAGAUGGACUCAAUCUACUUAAAUUUCUCCAUGCAGUUUCACGGCUUUCCACUAUCUUCAUCUGUUGUAUCACAUUACUGUGUGUGGGUAGAGUUGCCACAUUCCACCCAUGACACAACUGUUUCAGUGGCAAGUGAAGCGAUAUGUGCAUAUGGUAUAUGCAGUCUUUACACAAACCGUAUGGUUUCAGACAGCUAUGUAUGUAAUUGGGGGAAGUUAUGGAGGCUUCUUGAAUGUAAAGUCCAUUUGCUACAUUAUUAGAAGAUGUUGCAAACUUCGUUUAUCAUUCCCAUGACUAUACUUUUGAUAUUUGUGA